CAUCCAAAUGAAGAUGCUUAUUAGGAAAUUAAGCAUAUGAAUCCAGCCUUCAGGAAGGUGGCCGGGGAAGGAGAUGAAAAUGUGGCUUAUGCUGUUGUAUAAGUGGUUUUCAACGCUCCAAGGUUGAAGAUAUUCACCUAGAAAGGGGCUAUCCAGUACUAGCUGCUAGCACAUGCCAGGGAAUGCAGAAGUCCAGUGCAUAGAAACUAUCUCAAGAAGCAUUUCCUGGCUGUGUCAAAGACCUCAGGUAAGCAGCACACAGCCAGAGUUGGUACCUGCACUGGACGGGGAGGCAGCCACUGAUACCCUUAGCAAAGCCACUCUCCUCGGGAUGAAAGACUGGAGAAGGAGGUCCUUCUGUUUGUGUGUUGCUUUCAUUGGAUAAUGAAUAAAGAAACUGCCUUGGCCUAGUUGAUAGGACAGAACUUACAUGUGAAAUUCUGACCCAGGAAAUGUUUCAGGUCCCUUAAACAAACUACAGUAUGCCUUAACCUGAGGGAAGGGGUAAGAAAAGGGCAGCCGAGGCGUGGGUGCUUGCUGGGUCCAACAGUGAUCCGCUGCUGGGAAUGAACACUUGCCUUCCUGUCAACACUUGCCAGUCCUUUGCUCUGCAAAGCCAUUUGCUGUCUGUCAAAACCAAAGUCACACAGAGCAAGCGAGUGGGUGCAAAGACGAUUACAUACAGCCAGAGGUCGGAAAGCUCAGGGAUGUUUUUCUUUAUUAUUUUCAAUUGUAUGUUAUAGAUUUCACCCAAAUGUAUAGCAAGAUUUUGAUCUGACUUAAAACAGUACAAACCUCAUCCAGGGAUCUUCUGUCUAAAAACUUUUGGGGAGACCUUUGUUGUUCUGUGUUGUGGGCUUUCAUGGACUGGCAUGUACAGAAGAAUAAAUCUCGGGUGGUUUAAUGCUGUGAAAAUUGUUGACUAUCACAAAUGUCUAUGGAGAAAUUUCCAGGCCAAUGGCACAGUAUGGAAAUAAAGACGACACUGGAGAAUAUUUGACAAAAGCUGUCAGCUCGGGACCUGCAAACGCAAUGAUGCAGCACAUUGUAUACCGUCAGCAGUCAGCACAGAGGCAAGGGAGCCGGUUCACGUGGACUUUCCAAGACAGCACACACAGAGCGCUUGCACGGUUCGAGGAUGCAGUGACAUGAACUCGUACACACAAAAACAGCAGGGAGAGCAGUUUUUAAGGAGAACUCUGUGGGCUGUGAAGUCAGACUUCGGCCCUUCUUUGUCAAUGGACAAAACCCAGACGGCUCCGGUCUGAGUAUCACACCGCUUUCUAAACUACCGCACAGGAGGGACCAGAGACACAGCCGUCAGGGCAUCCCAAGAACACACAGAAAACGGUUAGAAGUAGUGACGACCAGAAACUACAAUGACUUCAAAAAAUGUGCACUUGGUGCAAGGUCUGUUAGGUGUGCAUCCCAGGAAGCGAUGGUAGCGUUAGAAGCACAGGACCCUGUCUUAGUGGCCUCAUGAGAGUUUGCCCCAAACUGACUUUACCCUACUGAAUAAGAAUCAUAAUCAUACAAACAAGUCUCGGUCUUAAAGUUUAAAACUCCCCCAGAAAGCUACUGAGCUCUGACUAAAGCUAUUAGGAGUCACAUGAUAGUCAAUCUAACCGUUGUCUGUGUGCUGUGGGAUUUUACAUAUCAUCUGCAAGGCAUCUGUGUGGGGAGGACUCCCAGUCAAUCUACCUCCAGCUUUCACCGGAUAUAGGACUCCAAGCUACAAUAUCCUGGCCAGCACUUAAGCGCAAUGGUCUCUUCCUAGAUCCUACACCCAAGUUACGGUGUGAGCACACUCAGUGGGUUUGCUGAUGGUCAGCAAUUUAGCCUGUUGAGGAUGGACAGGUGUACUAAACUUAAUUUGGGGAAAGCUGUUCUUUUUUGUAGAAACCUGAAUAAUUUCUAGGAACAAAACCUUUUAAAAGGCAAGAUCAAAACAAAGAAAUUUUAGUUUACAAUAGGUAAAGAGAUGACACCCACCAAAAAAACAAACAAACAAACAAAAGGAAAUCUACCUCCAAAUUUGGGAACUGUAAGAUGAACCACAAGGGCACUAUUCUGAUCUACUUGGCAUGACCAAGGUCUCAAGAUGGAGGGUUGAGACCUGUUGUCAUAACUACUGGAAUAUUUACUUUUGAGGAUAACAGCUUCAGGGAAUUCUGUAAAUGUGUUUUAAGGGGCAGAGAUUUGCAGGUCUCUUUUAGAUUUGAUUUUGCCUUAUGCUCAAUGCAAAAUAUUUGUACAAAAAUAUAAAAGGCAUGGCUUGAUGUUUAACGUCUGUGUUUUAUUUUGCUUUG